UGAAGUUCAGAGCCUUUGGUGUUCUGCAAAUGACAGAAGAGAAUGUCCUUGCAUUCCUUGUAGCAAGAACCUACCCAAGUAAUACCAACCUUGAUUUCCAGAUGGAAUAGAACAUAUACAAAAGUAGAAGUGAUGUUUUCUGCAUCAUAGUUCUGAAGAAGAUCUGGGAGAAGCAGCUGCUAAUAGUUCUAGCUGUUGUUGCCAGUACUACUGGAGCUAGUGAUUCCCAGGAUCUUUACUAACCGGCAUGCAGUCUUCUGAGAAUUCUAGCUACUGCCUGGUGACUGAUCCUAGGGGUAACCAAUGAUCAAUCUUAUUUCAACCUGCCUACCAUUGCUCUGAGUAGCACAGAUUCUCCCAUGUACUGUGUGUCACCACAUGCACCAGCAAGGGAACUUACUCAUUCAUUAGUCUUGAUAUGGUGCCUAGGUUGGAUAUGGUUGGUAGGUUUGAUAUAGCUGACCAGGAAGCUGUAUGCCACCAUUUCCUGUAAGCAUCCUUAGAAAGCCAUGCCUAAUUUCUGCAUCUAUAAAUAUCCUGGAAUCAUGGAGAAGGAAGAGAAAGCUACUGCUGAAAAGUCUGUGGCCAACGAGGAUUUCAGGGCAAAUGAAUCAUGCUAGCUCCUGGGUUCAUGGCUGCUUCAUCUGGAGGUCAAUCUGAUUCAAACAAGGCUAUGUAAGCCCCCUCUUUGCCUAUCCCGUUUUUCCUGACUGAAGAGUGGGGUACCCACUAUUCUCAUUGGGGACUGCUCCGUGGCUCCCAGUUUUUCAGGCCAAUGAAUGGGUAACAACAACACUGAGUU
rnacentral:lncRNA from 1 species